ACAGAUAAAUAAAUAAAAAGCAAGAAAACACAUAAAACCCUAAAAUCGCAGGUUAGGACAAACUCUCUUUUAGGGAAAGUGCAAGAACUCCCCAAUAUAGUCGCCAACUGUCGCUGCUGGAAAAAUGACAGAGUCGUCACCAUCCUUUGUUCAUUCCUAAGGAACAAGGAAAUAAUGACAAAACCUAAUAGUUAAAGGUGAGAGAUUGGGUUCGGGAGUCGGUUAUGUAAGGGGAAGGUACAAG
rnacentral:lncRNA from 1 species